rnacentral:lncRNA from 1 species
UGAACGUGUAAUAAAAUCAUCAGAUCGAGGAAGGCUUCUUCCAGUAGUAAUUCCCCCAGUUUUCUUCUCAUCAUCCCAAAUCAACUGAUGGAACCAUCAUCCCUGCAAAACAUAGUUUCCCAGGGGCUUCACUGAAACCACUCAAGCUCACAGAAUGGCCAGGGGAGCCUGACAUUACAAAUCAGAGUAUGGACUGUCAACAGCGAUCUCUAGCACAGGAGCACUCUUCUCCCAAGACCAUGUGUCAAAUUAAGUGAAUUAAUAAGGACACAUCAAACUCAGUAUUCUCUUAUGAUACUUAAAAUAUAAGGUACUGUUUCCUAAAGUCUUCAGUUUUUUUCUCUUGGUAUUAUCUCCUUUCUUGGGAUAGUGAAAGAAAGCUAAAGAGCUUGAUCUGUAGAUGAUUAUUACCAUUUCCUACCUCUCACUUGGAGAAAAUCCUUUGAAC